GGCUGAGUAGCCAAGUGGUUUAAGGCAUCGGUCUGCAAAACCGAUUUUUCGUGGGUUCAAAUCCCACUUCAGCCU
rnacentral:tRNA from 1 species